AACGAACGCUGGCGGCAUGCCUAACACAUGCAAGUCGAACGAAACCUUCGGGUCUAGUGGCGCACGGGUGCGUAACACGUGGGAACCUGCCCUUGGGUUCGGAAUACCUCCCCGAAGGGGGUGCUAAUACCGGAUAAUGUCUUCGGGCCAAAGAUUUUUCGCCUGUGGAUGGGCCCGCGUUGGUUUAGCUGGUUGGUAGGGUAAAAGCCUGCCAAGGCGACGUUCCAUGGGUGGUCGGAGAGGAGGAUCAGGGACACUGGGACUGGGACAAGGCCCAGACGCCUACGGGCGGCAGCAGUGAGGAAGAUUGGACAAGGGGCGAAAUGCUGAUACAGCACGGCCGGGUGGGUGAUGAAGGGGUUAGGGUUGUAAAGCGCUUUUACCCGGGAUGAUAAGGACAGUACCGGGAGAAUAAGCUCCGGCUAAUUCCGG
rnacentral:rRNA from 1 species